rnacentral:rRNA from 1 species
UACGUAGGGCGCAAGCGUUGUCCGGAAUUAUUGGGCGUAAAGAGCUCGUAGGCGGCUUGUCACGUCGGUUGUGAAAGCCCGGGGCUUAACCCCGGGUCUGCAGUCGAUACGGGCAGGCGUAGAGUGUGGUAGGGGAGAUCGGAAUUCCUGGUGUAGCGGUGAAAUGCGCAGAUAUCAGGAGGAACACCGGUGGCGAAGGCGGAUCUCUGGGCCAUUACUGACGCUGAGGAGCGAAAGCGUGGGGAGCGAACAGG